UACGAAGGGGGCUAGCGUUGUUCGGAAUUACUGGGCGUAAAGCGCACGUAGGCGGAUUGUUAAGUUAGGGGUGAAAUCCCAGGGCUCAACCCUGGAACUGCCUUUAAUACUGGCAAUCUCGAGUCCGAGAGAGGUGAGUGGAAUUCCGAGUGUAGAGGUGAAAUUCGUAGAUAUUCGGAAGAACACCAGUGGCGAAGGCGGCUCACUGGCCCGGUACUGACGCUGAUGUGCGAAAGCGUGGGGAGCAAACAGG
rnacentral:rRNA from 1 species